rnacentral:lncRNA from 1 species
AAGUAAGAUAAAAGAUAGCACGUGUACUGUUAUAACUUCAACUUAGUAAGAUCACUUUCGUGAGUAAAAUACUUCUCUUGCUUGCCUUAUGAGUUUUGAGUACCACUUCUCUCUUGAUAGUUCUCCUUAUAUCAGCUCAAUUAUUGAAGUUAUUAUCCUCUGCAACCUUCUCUAUCUUACCUUAUAAGUACGGCAUCUCUUUUUUGAUAGUUCUCAUUACUUCUCAAUUACUGAAGUUAUCAUCUUUUGGAACCUUUUGAAGUUGUAAAUUUGAGUCCUCUAGGCAUAUUUUUCUAUUACCUACAUUUACUUUUUUCCUUAACACACAUAACAACUAUAAUAUUUUUAAUAUCUUCAAGUUGCCUUUCCUUCUUCCUUCUUUUACUCUUGGAUUUAUCGUUAUUUUUUGUGUAUUCAGAGCUUAUGUUUUUGUUGUUUGUGGAUUAGUGUACCAUUUUGUCUUUCUUCUUUCCCAUGUUUUGUAGCUACAUGUGCAGGUACAACUUAUCCCUCUUCCUCCCUCCCUCCUUUUUCCCUUCCUAGAAAUACUAGCAGACAUCCAUAAUAUUGUUUAGAUCUUCUGACGGGGUUUUAUGUCUGUACUCUGCGUCACUUUUAUGUCUUAUAAGAAUAAGAUCAUAUAUACUUCUAAAAAAUUUGCUUUCGAUAUCCAUAACACAACAAAUUAAUUGAUGUAAUAUGUACUAGAUACAAAGGUUUAUGUUUUGCACUUCUACCUGUUUAUUAAAUUAUUUUUUCUUUAUGGUUAAUAGUCAGUUCAUGUACAGGGUCUCGAGAAAUAAGAAGACAUCGAUGCCAGAUUGGAAGUGGUGUUGAGGUUGAUCCACGAGCAUAUUCCUGAAACUUAUGAUCGACCAAAUCAAGAUUUUUGACCAGUUUUCUUCAAAGAAGCUUAGAAGGCUCAUUGUUUCAGAACUUGUGUUCGUGUAAUUGAAACUAAGUCGCAGUGACUUAACCUGCAGGCUACGUGAAAGGUCAAGCUCCUAAGAUUUGGAGGAAAAGAAAAGUAAUAAAAGUCAAUAGGUUAGGUAUUAGACAUCGGAUGUACCACUUUGCACUAACUGUUUCUACUGUGCAACUUGAUAAUUAAAUAAGGAUUCAAUUAUUUUGUUAAAAGACAAAAUAAUGACAUAGCUAAGACGCAAGUUUUAUUGUGAUAUUUUUAAUGGACA